UAUGUUCCUUGUAUACAUAUACUUACAUACACACAAGACACAUCCUCAUACAUACAUGUAUAUGUAUGUGUGUGCAUGCGUGUGUAUAUACACUUAUACAUGCAUGUGUGUAUGUGUAUGUGUUAAACAGUGCAUUCAACCCAAAUGUUAGAAAUCCUGUAAUCUUUUAUCAUAUUUUUUUCUCUUUUUACAAUAACAAUGUCCCCACCACAAAUUUCACAAUUGUUAUUCAAUAAACGUAGCCUUUUUAUAUAACAACUUUAACGUCCUACCGAUGUCCUAACAUGGGAUAAUCUCCUUUUUUAAUCAGUAUUUUGUAAUGAAUUUUGAAAAGAAGAAACCCACAAAAGUAAUUGCAAAAAUAGCCCAUUCAGUCCAGUACGUAUUAUCUUUUUCAUUAUUGAAGUGAAACUACGUAUCCAUUCUUCAGUGCCAUUUUUCACAAAACCUUUUUGGAAAGUAAUUAUUAUUGAUAAUGAUAAUAAUUGAAUUACAAACAACAGCAAAACAAACAACAGAGCAGAUGUUUGAUUUAAUUUUGUAACUACAUUCCAUGGCCUUAUUAUAUAUAUAUAUAUGUGUGUGUAUGUAUAUGAUUGUUAUUUAGGGAGUGAUCUCUAUAGUACCAAGUUCGUAGUUUAUUAUCCGGAAUCGAUUUUUUUGUAGUUCCGAAUAAACGAUGAUCAAUGAGUUAACUAUGAUAAUAAAAAUGAUGAUGAUAAUGAUUAUAAUGGUGAUAAUAUUUAUGACAACUGUAAUGAUAUUUCGAUAUGAUAUUGAUGAUGGUAACUAUGAUGUUGCUAAUGACUUUUACUCUUUCAAUGUUAUAUUCCAUUUUUUUAUCACACACUUUAGAUUUUGAAUACAAAUCAAAAACAAAAAAAUCAAAUUACACAAAUGAAAAUGGUUUAAACUUCGUAAUUAUUUGUAAAAAAGUCACACUAGAAAUUAUAAACAAAAAUAGAACGUUCACCCUUUAUACCUAAUAAGAAAAUUUCUCAAUAUUCUGUUGAUUUAGAAGUUCAAUAUUAGAAUGUACAUUAAUAUCUUUUUCACAUCUUUGAAUUAGAUUUAGUUGGUUAGAAAGUAAAUUUUGAACAAACGAUUGUAACAAUUUUAUAGAUUUAUUUUAUUCAGUGGUGGUUCAAGGAAUUAUUGCGCCUGUAGGGAUAAAUAUAGUUCAUAUUUGGCUCUUUCUGUAUUUUAAAAUCGAAUAACACGAUGAAACGAUGCAGUCCCCAAUUCCAUUUGUUCGAUGCAUUUUCCUUAGAAUCACUCCCUCUCUUCAGCUACCAGUUUUUCUAAAUCUUAUUUAUUUACAUUUCAUAAAGUCUUCUUAAAAAACCGCCGCCGCCGCCGUCGUCACCACCACCACCACCACUACCAUCACCACACCACCACCACCACCACACCACCACCACCACCACCACCACCACCACCACCACCACCACUACCACCACCAGAACUACCACCAGAACAACAAUACCUAUAACAACAAUGACAAAUGCAGCAAAAAACAAGAAUACCGGCAACCAUAACCACUGAUACAACAACAACAACAACAACAACAACAACAACAACUACUACUACUACUACUACUACUAUACUACAACAACAACAACUACUACUACUACUACCACUAUUAUUAUUAUUAUUAUUAUUAUUAUUAUUAUUAUUAUUAUUAUUAUUAUUAUUAUUGCUACUGCUGCUGCUGAUAAUUUCAAUAAUCAAUGAACUUUUGUUUAGAGUUUUACACUUGUGAUGUUUUUUUUUAUUUUUAAAAAUCAAUGGUCUUCCUUGUAAUAUCAUUUCUAUUAUCAACGAUAUCAAGUGUAACACUGUUUAUUGUACACAUAUCCCUCUUAUGUAAUUUUGUUUAAUUUGUGUAUGAUAUAUUUGUUUUUGGAUCUAUUUUGUACCUCAAUAGUAUUGAAUAUAACAAUGAUGUUUUUGUUUUAACCUUUGGUUUAUAUCAUCAAUGAUAAUCCAUGCAAUACUGCUGUACAGCUCAAGGACUUCCGCUGUAAUCUUAGAAACUAUAUUCAUUGUAUGGCGGUUCAUUUGAUAUCGUUGUGAUUGUUUUGAUUUAUUAAUUAAAAAGAAAUAUGUGUAUAUUGUUACCAAUGGUGUUUCACGAAAUAUUGCUGUCAACAGCAAGUGUCAAAGUAAUUUGCUCUUAUCCACCAAAUGGUGAUUUUUUAAAAAUCGCAUCUCAUGUGAUAUUGUUUUAACGCCAACGGUAUUAUCUUAUGCAACGUUUGGAUAAUAAUAAAUGAAAAAGAAAAACAAACAUUCCUCAUAAAAUUUGCGAAAAACUUUGCAAACAUUCCUAUUUCGAUAAUGAUCUCUUUUUUCAAUGCUUCUAAAGACAACACAUUAUCAUUGCAACGAAUAAUUUCUCUUGAAGACAAAAUACAUUAAAGUUUUAUCAUUGUUUAUACAAGGAUAAAAACGUUCCCGCCAGAAAAAAUACACAAUUACAUGUACACUAAUACAAAUCACAUGAAGUAAAACAAUUAAAAAUUCUUCAGACAUAUAAAAAUAUCAAUAGAAAAUUAAAAUAUCACACAAAAAAAAUUUAAAUAAAUAAAAUGCACAUUCAUUACUAUUAUCAUUGCA
rnacentral:lncRNA from 1 species